ACUAUCAUUUUAAGUUGUAUGUAUUAACAUAUUUGUGUUGCAAUGAGGCGAGAAGGAUACAUAUUUUUAGUGUACCAACAGACAGAAUGCAGUAUUGUGGCUUAGGACAGAGCUCUGUGAAUAUUAUUGUUAUUGUAAAGUUCCUUAAAUAAUUAUGUUCAGUUCUGAGGCCAUAAGAACUGAGUAGUUUUCAGUUUUGAAAAAUUAAUUUGAGUUUAAAGGAAUGUUGCCUAAUGUUAUCCCAAGAACAGUUAUUGUGAUGUGGUCAUUGUGUUCUUUACACAUCACCAUCUUUCCUUAGAGACCUUGGAGAUUUCUUUUAUGUGCUUGUUUACCUGUACUUUUUGUUCUGUUGAGUUUUUGAGACAGUUUCUCUGUGUAGCCCUGGCUAUCCUGGAAGUUACUGUGUAGACAAGGCUGGACUUGGAACUCUUGCUUCUGCCUCCCAAAUGCUGGAUUAAAGGCAUGUUCUACCAUCCCCUGUAAUUUUUUGGAAAUUUUGUAGUUUACCUUUAUUCACCUCACAGAAAUAUUUGAGUAAGCCAUACAAAGCAUUCCUUCUGUUAUCUUGUUAUUUGUGUGGGGGCCAGAGCUCCAUACUCAUGUUAGACCAGUGGGGAUUUUCAAGCUGUGUUCUGUGGAACCCAAAAUUCAGAAACCAUUGACGUGAUCUAGAAUUUGUUACCCUGGUUUGUAACGUUAUAAGAUUUUUGACCAUACCCAAGUCACUAUGACUUAGCCAAUUCUUAGAAACAGCAAGGGCUCAUCCAGGAGAAUUUAUUCAGUCCUAAACCAUAUGAACCUCCAUCUGACCACGCAUCCAAGAUGCAGUAAUCCUAUGCCUUCAUCAUCCUAGGCGACCUGGAGCCAAUAUAGUAAAGAGUUGGUCAGGAUAUUCAAAGUAACCACUUCUGAGAUGGUUCUCUUUCUCCACCUUGAUUUUUAUAUGAAGACCCUAACAGCUCUGGACUAAUGCUUUCUCCUGACUUCUAAUCACACCAUUCUACUUCCCAUGCGAACCUGUGACGAUUUUGUCUCUAGGAGCUAUGAGUCUCUUUCUGUAGCAAUUUAAUUCUAAUAAAAAAUGGGUAGUUACCCAGGAUAAUUGAGCCUGCUCUCUGCCAGUGUUGAUGCUCUUUCCCAUCCAUUCUCUGUGUACCCACAUCGUAUAUGUGUGUGUCCCCAUCAUACCCCAGAAGUCCUCAGAAGUCAUGAACCAGAAUCACUACUUAAAAAGUUGUAUUUUGUUUGUGUGACCAUGUUGCAGUUUGUGUGACUUGAUUCACUGGAUUUCAAUUUGGCAUUUAGGUAUAGUAAAAUGUAUAGUCCUUGAUAUAAAUGUUGUUCCUUAACUCUUAUGAUAGUACAUUUUCUUAUGUAACUCACGAAGACAUCUGCAAUUGCUUUCAUGGUAAGUACUGUAUAUCUUUUUAUUCUUAUUUAUUUUUGGUUUUUGGAGACAAAGUUUUUCUGUGUAGACAAGGCUGGCCUCUAGUUCAAAGAUUUGCUUCCUGGAAUUAAAGGCAUGGGUCACUGCCACCUGCUAUAUUUUUUGAACAACCUGUAGAUUCUCACAAUUCCCCAUACACUCAGCCUGUUGAUAUUUUCAGGAGUUGGGAAUAUUUUUUGCCUUUUUCUGCAGCAGUGUGUUGCUAGGUUGCUUCUGUUUCUCUUUAUGGCAGUAACCUCUUUCACAGAUUUUAUUUCAUGUGUGGGAGAGCAGGGCAACCAAGGGACAAGGAACUUAAGUCAGCAGGACUUAACAGCCUUUUGAAGCUUAAGCUGGAUAUAGGGAAUGGGAAACAUAAGUAUUGUCAUGAAACUCUACAGUAAGUAGUCAUCACAAGUGAAACCUGGUGAGCAGUUAUCUGAAUCUGUUUUAUAAUCUUGUUCUUAAUCCUGCUCCAUCUUCUGUGUCCCAUGUUUACUGCUUGAAGUGACAGUGUUAUAUGUUCACUAAAGUGAAGGACACUACAUCCAAAAUUGUGAAAUAAAACUCUAUGCCUGUUUAUAUUAUGCAUGUUUCAAAAGACAACAUGUGUAUUGCCCACCCAGAGUGAUCAACUGGCCAAGUUAUCAUUUCAUAUACAAACUGAAUUUCAAUGAAAAGACUAUUGGUAAUACAAAUGCCCUUGUCCUAUUUUACCAGCACAGUUUUUAUGCAUUUUAAUGAAGUUUGAGGAAAGCUUUAUUAGUCUGAAAUUGCAUAAAAGCUCUGUAGUAUAUGGCUUCAAAGUAGGUUUAUUUGAGGGUAACCUGUUAGUCUGUCAUACCUAGUCUUUAGUGUCCUUUUGCUUAAAUGGUUUAACUGCUUUAAGAGACAGUAUUUAUAUGAGACUAAAAGGGUGUAUAGUCUCAGAAUAUACAGAACACCAAGUAAAACAAAAUAAGGAUCAGAAAAUUUCCGUGAGAAGAGCUAAUUCUGAGAAUUGUGAGUCUAUGAGCUGACGUGUCUUCAUUUUAUGUGCAGGGUGCAGCAGGGUGGUGGUAGGGCCUUCAUUUUAUUGACUCUGACAUCAUCGGGCCUAGGUUUCUGAUUUUUUUUUUUUUUUUAAGACAGGGUCUCAGGUUGGCCUCAAACUCUUUGUGUAGCCAAGGAUGACCUUCUGGUCCAUCCUGCCUCUUCUCCUUUGCACUGGAAUUGCAGGCAUGUGCCAUGACUAUGGCCCAUGACCAUGACCCAUGACUUACCUGGUGUUGGGGAUAGAAGGCUGGCACUCUACCAAAUGAGAUGAGCCUGUAUUUGUAUUUCUGUUUUUGUGUGUGUGUGUGUUUUUUUAAGAGAAAUUCUCAAGUAGCCCGUGGUGGCCUAGAACUCACUGUUUUGCAAAGGUUAUCCUGGGAUUCUUAGUUCUCUUGCCCUCACCUCCCAAGUGUUGAGACUAAAAACACGCACCACCUAACCUGGUAUCCUGGGACUAAACCUACACUUCUGAUUUCAGAUCUCCCUUACAACAUUACUUAUGAUCUACAGCAUUCCUACCGUUGUUAAGUAUUUAUUUAUUUUGCCAGGUGAUACACUGUUGGCCAUUCAGGCACCUUCUGGUACACAGCUGGAAGUACCUAUUCCAGAAAUGGUAUGUAGCACAGCUGUUAUAGAAAUGGUAUGUAGCAUAGCUGUUAUACAAGUGAAG
rnacentral:lncRNA from 1 species